rnacentral:tRNA from 1 species
CGUCCCGUGGCCUAGCGGCGAAGGCGGCUGCCUUACAAGCAGUAGAUCGGUGGUUCGAGUCCACCCGGGAUGAC